rnacentral:snRNA from 1 species
GUGCUCGUUUCGGCAACACAUAUAUUAAAAUCGGAACUAUACAGAGAAGAUUAGCAGGGCCCCUGCGCAAGGAUGACACACAAAUUCGUGAAGCGUUCCAUAUUAAA